rnacentral:rRNA from 1 species
AGCUCCAGUAGCGUAUAUUAAAGUUGUUGCAGUUAAAAAGCUCGUAGUUGGAUUUCUGGCAAGACGGAGCUAACCCGGUAUAAUCUAUCGUGUGUUGGACUCUGUCUGCCAUCCUUCCAGAAAAGCAUUACUCCAUUCAUUUGGUGGUGGUGUCGAUCUGGGACUUUUACUUUGAAAAAAUUAGAGUGUUCAAAGCAGGCGUUACGCUAUGAAUACAUUAGCAUGGAAUAAUAAUCUAGGACUUUUAUCCUAUUUUGUUGGUUUCUAGGGUGAAAGUAAUGAUUGAUAGGGAUAGUUGGGGGUGCUAGUAUUCAGCGGCCAGAGGUGAAAUUCUUGGAUUCGCUGAAGACUAACUUAUGCGAAAGCAUUCACCAAGGAUGUCUUCUUUAAUCAAGAACGA